UGCCAGGACCAGAUGCGAGAGAUCCUGAGC
rnacentral:piRNA from 1 species